ACCCUGCUUGGGAAACACUGGUCUAUGUAGAGGGCCGGAACUUCUUCGGGGUCCUGUACAGUACACGCAAUGUCCUAAAAAAGUAACAUGGAGUCUCCCUUACCUGGUGUCAAAAGGAGCAGGAAACCCUGGUACAGGGGCCACCGGGAGGUAGCACACUCAGGGAUGUCACUGAUGUCCCUUGUGUGCGCCCAUAGCGACGGGGGAGCAGAGUAUCGAUGAGGAGGACUAUCCAGCAUGCAACUUGGCAGUGCUGCAGUAGGUGACAAUAGUAGGGAGGUUUUGGAAAAAAAACGGACAUUGUAGCGCAAUCCACACUGGUUUUUCCAAAACCUCCCUACCACUGUACUAUUCGGCUGGAGGCCUCUUCAUGCUGACACCGGGGAAACAGCACCACUAUGUUUGAUUGAUGCGCAAAUAGUAGUUAUGUCUGCCAUACAACUAAAUCAGUUAUUAAUUAAAAAUAUCAUUUUCAAGUUGAGGAAGCCAAGAUGCCAUGAAGCAAAAAGUGAUAAUUAUGAAAAUAAUGUCUUGCCAGCAAGGGGAUUAUAAUCCUAUUAAUAGCACUUUGAGAACUGUUAUGACUUUUUACUUCACAUUAACCCAAUUUUAAAAGGCCUUUGACAGCUGAUUUCAAAUAGAUAUAUAGCAAAAAAAGAGAAAAUGUCCAUUUACUUCAACCUGUUAUCCAGAGACAGACAAAACAUGUCCCUAUGGGAUAACUGCCAACUGUCCUCAUUGUAGGAAAAAGAAAAUCCUUCUUGACUCCAAUCACAAUAAAUUCCUUGAUGAAUUAUCUG